rnacentral:RNase_P_RNA from 1 species
UGAGACCUCUUGAUGGCCGCGGCCGUGAUCUUCAUUGGGAUCGGCUGAGGAACUUCCGGGCUCCAUAGAGCACGAUGGCGGAUAACGUCCGCCCAGGGUGACCUGAGAGAUAGCGCAACAGAGAACAGACCGCCCGUCCUCGACGGGUAAGGGUGAAACGGCGGUGUAAGAGACCACCGGGCCUCUGGUAACAGUAGGUCGCAUGGCAAGCCUCAUCGGGAGCAAGGCCAAGCAGAUGGCGGUAAGGGCUGCUCGCCCGUGUCAUCGGGUAGGCUGCUAGAGCCUGGCGGCAACGUCAGGUCGAGAUGGAUGGCCAUCCGUGCCGUGCGUUCGCGCACGNNNNNNNNNNGCGCACGGCACGACAGAACCCGGGGUAUAAGAGGUCUCAUUUU